UACGUACCGUCCAAACGUUACUCGGAAUCACUGGGCUUAAAGGGUGCGUAGGCCGCGCGGAGGGUGGGAUGUGAAAUCCCCCGGCUCAACCGGGGAAUAGCGUCCCAAACCGCCGUGCUCGAGGGAGACAGAGGUGAGCGGAACUGAUGGUGGAGCGGUGAAAUGCGUUGAUAUCAUCAGGAACACCAGUGGCGAAAGCGGCUCACUGGGUCUUUCCUAACGCUGAGGCACGAAAGCUAGGGGAGCGAACGGG
rnacentral:rRNA from 1 species